GGAAUUUUGGACAAUGGGGGCAACCCUGAUCCAGCCAUUCCGCGUGAGUGAAGAAGGCCUUCGGGUUGUAAAGCUCUUUCGCAAGGGAAGAAAACUUAUGAUCGAAUAAAUCAUGAGGUUGACGGUACCUUGAUAAGAAGCACCGGCUAACUACGUGCCAGCAGCCGCGGUAAUACGUAGGGUGCGAGCGUUAAUCGGAAUUACUGGGCGUAAAGCGUGCGCAGGCGGUUUUGUAAGUCGGAUGUGAAAUCCCCGGGCUCAACCUGGGAACUGCGUUCGAAACUGCAAGGCUAGAGUGUGUCAGAGGGGGGUAGAAUUCCACGUGUAGCAGUGAAAUGCGUAGAGAUGUGGAGGAAUACCAAUGGCGAAGGCAGCCCCCUGGGAUAACACUGACGCUCAUGCACGAAAGCGUGGGGAGCAAACAGGAUUAGAUACCCUGGUAGUCCACGCCCUAAACGAUGUCAACUAAUUGUUGGUAGAGUAAAAUCUAUGAGUAACGUAGCUAACGCGUGAAGUUGACCGCCUGGGGAGUACGGUCGCAAGAUUAAAACUCAAAUGAAUUGACGG
rnacentral:rRNA from 1 species